rnacentral:lncRNA from 1 species
GUUGUUGGGGAUGACAGGAGUCUUCUCCCAGUCUGCAGACGUGGAAACUUCAGUCAAGGAGCUUAAGACCUGCCUUCUCAAGGUCUCCGCCCCCUGCUUUAUCUUGCUGUCUGGAAGACAGAUGCUACCUCUUGGGCCUUGAGGACAAGACUCCACCUCUGGGAGCAACAAGAUAGAAGGAGCCUGGGCUCCUGUCACUGUGGAGCAACUGUGAUGCUUGGGUCACUUCCCUGGAUUUGUAGAAGCCACUGCCAUUUUUUUUGGCUUGUUUGUUGAUCAUUCCAAGCUAACUCCUAACAAAUAGAAUGAAAUCUCACAGGAGCCUGUGUAGAUGGCUUCUAAACCAGACCAACUGACAUAGGACCCUGGAAGAGCUUCUCUCUGGUUGCCCACCCCUUUGCUCCCAUCUCUCAAGCUGCUGUGGCUAGUGGCCAAGACAAACUUUUCUUCUCAAAGGUCAGUUCUUGGUCGAGUUUAGUCAUUAAAAUUAAAAUAUACAUUGGACCAACCCUCUAAUCAUCAGUCUGGCACCGAUGUUUGUAGAGUCAAUAAAUAUGCUGCCAUACAUUUAUUUCCUGUUCUCCCUCUCUUGGGUCACUUCUCUGGAUUUGUAGAUGUCACUGCCAUUUUGUUUUUUUUUUGUUUUUUUGUUUUUGUUUGCAAGGGUGGAGGUUGUAUGCUGAUUACCGCAAGCUAACUCCUAACAAAUAAAGUGCAAUCUCACAGGAACUCGUGUAGAUUGCUUCUAACCCAGGACAACUUACAUGGGACCCUGGGAGAGUGCUCUUUCACUAUUUCCCAGUAUGUGGUUUCUUC